AUCCAUAUUAUCCAUUGGGUUUAUCCAUUUCAUCCAUAAUCAAAUAUGGCUUGGAUUGGAUAUUUUAUCUAUUUUCACAUGAUCCACUUUUGACCCGCUCAUAUCCAGCUCGACCCGCCCAUUUGCCACUUGUCGUCUUUUUGUUGAAAAUUGUGAAAGUCGUGGGUUGUUGUUGAACGUUAUAAAAGCUGUUGGUAUUUUUGGUCGAAGCUGUUGCAGCGGUUGUGCGCGUGAGUGUCAGUUGUUGUUGAAGCUUUAUCGGUGUUGUGUGUUAUUGAUGAUAACGCUGUUGUUACAGCUGUUGUUGGUUGUUUUGACUGUUGUUCAGAGGAUAAGGGGAUUAGGGGUGGGAUGGAUCGGGUCGAGGGUUAGAUUUAGGCUGGUCAGUGGAAAAUUAUAUGGGAGUGGGACAAUGGAUUUGCUGAUUGUUGGGUCUGUCGGAUAAUGAAACUUUGAGCUGGUGGCCCAAUUUAGUAAUAGAGAAAGGACUAUUGGAUAAAAAAAAGGAUAUUGGGGUUAUUUUUUAAAUAAACCUAAUUUAAUUAGAAUUCGGCCAAUUUUAUUUAAUUUUCAGUUAAAUUAAAAAUCAAUAUGGCCAAUUGUAUUGCAAUUGUGCUUUUUUGAUUUUAAUUAUGAACAAAAUUAAUAAGUUUGGUUGAAUUAAAUCACAAUUCGAUAUUAUUUAAUAAUCGAUUUAAUCUCGAGAUAAAUUAUUUUCAAG
rnacentral:lncRNA from 1 species